GAAAUUUUUAUAAGGAGGGGAGAAUGUAACGUCCCGUAUCUUAAAUUACCAAUUUACAAGUUAGUUGGACGGUAAACGACCGUUAUUUUCACUUUUACUGUCGUUUAAGUACUUUUAGUGGCCCUAAAAGUUGACUUUUUGAUCGGGCCAAAAUUUGAGAAAAUUUCCUUCAUGAAAGUUGUAGAGGACGUUAACUCGAGCGCGUGCAUAUGUGGUGCGUAAAAAUUGGAGUUCGGAUGUGAAAGUUAUAAGCGAAAUAGUAAAGUUACUGUUUAUUGGUAGAAAGUAUAAAUUUGAAUUUUUACUGUUGGGGGCCGGUAACUUUCUUUUCCUCUCUCUCUCCUCCUCCCCGUGCUUUCCUCUCUCUUUCGGCGAUCUGCAGCUCCGGCCUUCUCUCUUUUUCCGGCCACCUGGUGGUGCAAGCUUGGUGUCAGUAGACUCGCCUCCUCCCCCUUGUUGCAUAUGUGGUGGUGUUUUGCAGAGAUUUGGCCGGAGGAGCUCGAUUUGGAGCCAAGAAGAUUACUGUAGCAGUUAUCAUUUCCGGCGAUAUCUUCCGAUUCCGGCCGUCUCCGGCCACCAAACCGGCGUCGAAGGAGCGGUUUUUCCCAAGGAUCAUGUUGCCCCUAGCCUUGAGCCACGAUUUGCAGUGUGGAGGUCGAAUCGAAGGUUUGAAAUUCCGAGUUACUAUUCACAAUUCGGGUUCAAACUUCUCUUUAAUUGUUGAGGAUGUCGUACCGAGCCCUGGCUCGAUGAAGGAACUCGUAUACGUGAUCGUCGGAAUAGUACUUUUGCAGGCGAAAUUAGUUGAGGUCGGGCGUACAUUGGAGUUGAGGCAUAGUCAACAGCCUAGCUUCCGCGGUUGCCUUUGAGUUAGGUUGUCAUUAUUUACCUUUCUAUUAGAAUUGCUCUGAUUACCUAUGGGAUUUAUGUUUUUCAAGUUGAGGUUUGUGUUUUGUGAAUUGGAGAUUGGUGUUGAGUUGGGGAGCAGGGUGGCUCCAGAAGUAUAAGGAUGAUUUGAUUUAGAAGUGUAAAUGUUUUCUAUAGGUUUUGGGUAGCUCAUUUUAGGGGAAGUUCCGCCAAAUUUUUGGUCGAAUUUCUUCUAAGGUGGGCCCCGCAGGGCCACUUCGGAUUUCAGGGUGAAAUCCGGGGUGGGUCCUGUCAGUUGGUAUCAGAGCAUUAGGUUGUAGAUUCUGUAGACUCGUUUCUAUUCUGUUACCUUAUAUGCUAGGUGUUGCCCAGUACCUCCCGAGUGAUGGCCCGACUGCAGCGGUUCCCCAUCGUGUACUCUUCGGUGCUGUGGUAUUCAUCAAGUGUGUAAGGUACAUGUCUAGUGGGUAUUUCCUUCAAGUACUAUGCCUCGUGUACGCCGACCUCAUAGGAACUUCACUGUGUAUCGGAUUGUCUUCAUGUCUUAUACUUGUCCGGUUGUGGUAGGGUAAUAGCACUCUACCUGGUUGUGUUGUGCUAUGAAAUGUGAUUCGAGGAAAUGUUGAGAGUAACUUUUCCUCGAUGUCAACGGAUUAUUGGAACAUGGUUUAGGGUACGAGACCGGAGUUUGAUGGUGUGUUUCAUUUCUGGAAAUGAGCAACUACGGUUUGACCUAUCUUUAGAGACUGUAAUUAAUUCAAAAUCAUGAUUGUUGGUGGAAAUAGAAUCGGUAAUUAUGGUGGUUCUGUUUGGAACCAAGUUUAAGCAAACGUGUGUUGUGAGGUGAUUGAUUGUAGAGCAGUUUAUAAAAUACUUUGGGAAGUUGAUGGGAGGUCCCUUGAGAAUCUUAGUGCAAGAAACCGAUUGUAGGUAAAUCUGGACUGGAAUUUCUUCAAUUGGACAAUUUAUGUGGGAAUUGUGAACGUAUUACCUUUUGGUAGACAGCGGAGGAAAAUUGAAUAAAUAUUCUGAGUUGUAUAGCUGGAUGCCAUGUUUUCUAGUGACUGUGGUCACUGAGGAUGGUAAAUAAGGAGUGGAGGUGAUAACAGUGGAUAGGAGAUUAUAAGUGGAACGAGUCAUUUUGGGUUGUUGACUUGACUGAAACAAUUGAUAGCUUUGUUUGGAUUAGAAGAAUGUGAAUUCUAGAUACUUUGAUUUAUAAUUGGCCAAAUGUAUGGGAAAACGGAUAAAAAGUGGGUUUUUGAAGCUAAUAUGUGGUGGAAGUUUGAGGAAUCGAGGAAAUGAUUAAAGUUUUACUAUAAAGUUAUGACUUCGGUCCAUAUUUCUAACUAGUAGAAUUAGAAUCAACCUUUAGUAUGUAAUAUCGUGCCAACAGGUGUCCUUUUAUUUAUAUGUUUAUUGAGAUGGUGGAAUGUAAUAUCAGAGAUUUUUUUUUUUAAGAUGACAUCGCCAGAUAUUUGUAGUAUUUCGAGUGGGAUUACUUUAUGAUACGGAAUGUAAUUCGAGUUUUGAUUAGUGAAGUCUUGGAGAUUAAUUGCGAUAUGUUUUGGUGGAACUUUUGAUCGACAGUUUGGUAGUGACUUUAUAAGCAUUGUUAGUAGAGUAACUUUAUGGAAAUAAGUUUUCUAGUUGGUUCCGGAAAUAUUUGAAGUUAAAGAAUUGACCAGUUUGUUUAAUUAUAUUGGGUGAAGCAAAUUGAGGUUGGCAUAAAAGUGUUUGCAUAUCUCAAGAUCGAACUAUGUGCAUAAAUUGAGGGGGACUAAAUCUUAAGUGCCAAAACAUUCCUCGAGAUUAUGUUCCAUUUUGAGCUAAGCAGUUUUAUAUUAGAAAUAUCAACUGAAUUUGAAGACCUCGGUUUCUUACUCACGAGAGCCUAAGUUUUUAA